GACGAACGCUGGCGGCGUGCUUAACACAUGCAAGUCGAACGGAAAGGCCCUGCUUUUGUGGGGUGCUCGAGUGGCGAACGGGUGAGUAACACGUGAGUAACCUGCCCUUGACUUUGGGAUAACUUCAGGAAACUGGGGCUAAUACCGGAUAGGAGCUCCUGCUGCAUGGUGGGGGUUGGAAAGUUUCGGCGGUUGGGGAUGGACUCGCGGCUUAUCAGCUUGUUGGUGGGGUAGUGGCUUACCAAGGCUUUGACGGGUAGCCGGCCUGAGAGGGUGAACGGCCACAUUGGGACUGAGAUACGGCCCAGACUCCUACGGGAGGCAGCAGGGGGGAAUCUUGCACAAUGGGCGGAAGCCUGAUGCAGCAACGCCGCGUGCGGGAUGACGGCCUUCGGGUUGUAAACCGCUUUCGCCUGUGACGAAGCGUGAGUGACGGUAAUGGGUAAAGAAGCACCGGCUAACUACGUG
rnacentral:rRNA from 1 species